rnacentral:rRNA from 1 species
GGAGGAAAAGAAACCAACCGGGAUUGCCUUAGUAACGGCGAGUGAAGCGGCAAAAGCUCAAAUUUGAAAUCUGGUACCUUCGGUGCCCGAGUUGUAAUUUGGAGAGGGCAACUUUGGGGCCGUUCCUUGUCUAUGUUCCUUGGAACAGGACGUCAUAGAGGGUGAGAAUCCCGUGUGGCGAGGAGUGCGGUUCUUUGUAAAGUGCCUUCGAAGAGUCGAGUUGUUUGGGAAUGCAGCUCUAAGUGGGUGGUAAAUUCCAUCUAAAGCUAAAUAUUGGCGAGAGACCGAUAGCGAACAAGUACAGUGAUGGAAAGAUGAAAAGAACUUUGAAAAGAGAGUGAAAAAGUACGUGAAAUUGUUGAAAGGGAAGGGCAUUUGAUCAGACAUGGUGUUUUGUGCCCUCUGCUCCUUGUGGGUAGGGGAAUCUCGCAUUUCACUGGGCCAGCAUCAGUUUUGGUGGCAGGAUAAAUCCAUAGGAAUGUAGCUUGCCUCGGUAAGUAUUAUAGCCUGUGGGAAUACUGCCAGCUGGGACUGAGGACUGCGACGUAAGUCAAGGAUGC